rnacentral:rRNA from 1 species
AGAGGGUGCGAGCGUUGUUCGGAAUUACUGGGCGUAAAGCGCGCGCAGGCGGCUUUUUAAGUCUUACGUGAAAUCCUGAGGCUCAACCUCAGGCCUGCGCGGGAUACUGCUUGGCUAGAGUCCGGAAGAGGAGAGUGGAAUUCCUGGUGUAGCGGUGGAGUGCGCAGAUAUCAGGAGGAACAUCCGUGGCGAAGGCGGCUCUCUGGGACGGUACUGACGCUGAGACGCGAAAGCGUGGGGAGCGAACAGGAUUAGAUACCCUGGUAGUCCACGCCGUAAACGAUGGGCGCUAGGUGUGGGAGGUGUCGAUUCCUUCCGUGCCGAAGCUAACGCAUUAAGCGCCCCGCCUGGGGAGUACGGUCGCAAGACUA